ensembl:lncRNA
UGGUGUCAAAAAAACACUUUUUAUUUAUUGAAUAAACAUUUAUAAAAUAAAGAACAAUAGGAAUGACAUGGCAACAGUGUACACAAACUAGAGUUUUAAACAGUUAAGUAAAUAUGAACAAGCAGGUCUUUUUAAGCACAAAAUGUCUCAUUGCCAUGAUCUUCUGAAAGAUUUUCAACUUGAAACAAAAGCAGUACCUUUAAAUUGAACCAACUGAUUCAACAGAAAUAAUGAGAUGGAAUUACAUUUAAUGUGAUAACCAAACCGUCCCUCAAGAAAACAAGUUAAACAACUCUGAGGCAGAACCUGGCUCUUUUGUGCAUUUACUGCAUUAGCAAUAAAUAAAAAUUACACUGCCUUCAUCCUCUCGAACUGCUAGAAAUGUUGCAAUUUAGGGAAUAUUGUUUUAAUUGUCCAAAUAUUUUCUCAAGUCUACAUAUGUGUAAAAGAAAUUACUGAAAUUAUCAAAGGAAUCUAACCAAAUAUAUAAGGGAUGCAUUACAGAUGGCUGUUUUACCAUGACGCCAAUAGAAGUGGCCACAUUUUUUGGAUAUGAAUUCUCUCAAUAUUUACAAUUUCCGGGAGAUAGAAAUGUAAUUGCAGACUUUCAAGCAAAAUGUUGAUCAGAGAUGUAUACACUUAAUAUAAUCUUGCUCUGUAUUUAGCUUACAAGAACAUUCUUACAGAAGUUACAGACUUCUGUACAAAUAGAUGCAAGAACCAAAAAUCUGAGGUCAAAAAAGGGGACAUGGUUUUCUACAGGAAUCACACAUUAGCUUCUGUAACACUUCAGUAAUUGAGAUUUCCAUAUUUUCUUUUUAUCAUCAUUUUCAGUCCACAAAGCAUGCUACCAUAAGUUUAUUUAACGUAGAUAUACUGGAAUAAUGCACCGCAAUCUCCUAAAACAACGUCAACUCAACAAUAUUAAACCUUAAUGAGACAUGGUUAAGGAUAUUCUUAUAUGCUUGGAAAUUAUCAGUGCUUUUAACCCAGUCUCAGGUUUCUAUGAAAUGGGCUUUAAGUACAAAAUUACCCUGUGGGGGUGAUGGCUUCAUUACAGUAGGUCUUCAGGGUCAACUUCUGCCAUGUAUGCAUCCAGCUGGGCAUCCAGUUGGCUCUUGGUCAUGGACAUGUAAUCAUCCAGCUGUGCAUCCAGCUCCUCUCGAGUGGGGAGAGGGCGACUGUCUCGUCUAGCACUUUUUCCAGCCGAGUCACGGCCUACAAACAGCAUGCCUCUACCUGCU